rnacentral:rRNA from 1 species
CCUACGGGAGGCAGCAGUGAGGAAUAUUGGUCAAUGGACGAGAGUCUGAACCAGCCAAGUAGCGUGAAAGAUGACUGCCCUAUGGGUUGUAAACUUCUUUUAUAUGGGAAUAAAAUGUUCCACGUGUGGGAUUUUGUAUGUACCAUAUGAAUAAGGAUCGACUAACUCCGUGCCAGCAGCCGCGGUAAUACGGAGGAUCCGAGCGUUAUCCGGAUUUAUUGGGUUUAAAGGGAGCGUAGGUGGAUUGUUAAGUCAGUUGUGAAAGUUUGCGGCUCAACCGUAAAAUUGCAGUUGAAACUGGCAGUCUUGAGUACAGUAGAGGUGGGCGGAAUUCGUGGUGUAGCGGUGAAAUGCUUAGAUAUCACGAAGAACUCCGAUUGCGAAGGCAGUUCACUGGACUGCAACUGACACUGAGGCUCGAAAGUGUGGGUAUCAAACAGGAUUAGAUACCCUUGUAGUC